rnacentral:lncRNA from 1 species
GGAACCAACCGACAUAUUAUAUGAGGCAACACUUUCUUCUUCUCAAACUCAUAGAACUACGAUCGAUGUCCUUUUCCCGAUGAUUAUUUACUGGCCUUUUCAAUUCAAUACUCAAAAGUUUGUUUUCUCCAUCCAUGAAGAAAGUUUAUCAUUUUCUGCUUAGCUUGCUUUUGAUCCAUGAAAUCCUGUGGAUUCAACAGGGAUGCGUGAACAAAGCCUACGUCGCCGUGGCAGCAGCAAGAGUUUUAGAAGAAUCCCUCUCAGGGUUUCAUGCACCAGCUUCUACUUCUUUUUCCGAUGAUCCUCUGUCUCCCUAUGAUUUCAGGGCAGCACUGCGAACCAGGAGACCUGGGCUUUCGCCACAACCUCCGGUGAUCAAUAACUCUCCUCAUUUUUUCAAGAGUCCACCACCUCGACCACCACUGCCGCCACAAGCACCGCCACCACCACCACCAUGUUAAAUUGUUAAUGCAUGUUGGAACAGUCAGAAAUAUAUAUGUAUCCAGUUUCUUUCUCCACCACCUGUUCAGUUGUGCUACCAAUUGCUUGGACCAAUGUAAUAGUAGUAUUAGUGUAGCCAUGUUCUGCUUCAAAUAAAACCAUGAAGCUUCUGUUACUGCUUUGGUCUCCCCGUGCCUUUCUUAAUUUCCAAUAAAAAUUGAAACACUCACGUCCUUGAGUUAAUUAGCAUUUUAAUCUUAAUUAUUUCCUUGCA